rnacentral:lncRNA from 1 species
CCAUCCCGGGAGCGCUCGCUCCCCGCCCGCCCCGCACGGUCGCACCCGCGGCCCCCGCUGUCCUCACCGGGCUGUUGGUGAGGCGUGAGCAGCGCGUGGCGUGUUCUCUCAAUGUGCCGUGUUUUGAUGAUUUUGUGUCAUAGGAUGAUUCUGCAGGGCGUGCCCGAGGAGGGGGGCUCGGCUGUCCCUGCGCCGUGCCCGGGGAGGCGAGGGCUGGGGAGGGGAGGUCAGUGCUUGGUGUGAGACAACGGAGCCCAUGGUUGGUUCUGCCUGUGUGUCUCCCCUCCCCGGGGGCUGUAAGAGCGUCGUCUCCUUAGCAACAUUUCCUGACUUGAUGUUGUGGUUCUUACUAUUGUAAAGGGUUGAAAUAAAGCUUCUAGAUGUUCCUCCUCAGGCUGCUGUGGCUCUGUGGGCCGGGCGGGGGGCGGCGGCACAGCCCGGGGCUCCUGAUGUGGUAAGGAGGGGCUGGAGGAAUUUGGGUGUCUCUGAUUUCAGCCACUGGAGAAUUCCCAUCCCUGGCUUUGCUCCGCAAGCCUGGGCUCAGAGGGGAAGGGGCUCUGGGCUGACAAGGGCCCUGUGGGAGCCCCGGUGCCCACGGCACAGCUGGAACAGCUGGCACAGCCAGAGGGUACCAGCACCUCCCGGAGGUGCCCUGGCCACUCGCACAGAUAAAGAAAAGGUUUUCCACCCUGGCUUGGCCCUGACCCGAGACCCCAGACAGGACCGGGAGCCAAGUUGCAGGUGCCCGUGCCUGGAGCAGCCGCUGCUCUGCCCGUCCCUGAGCGCUGCUGUGGAAGCAGCCCCAGCCCCGCUCAGCUCCCCCAGAACGGGCACAGCAGCACGGGGACAGCCUGGCUGGCUUUGGGUGGCUCUGGGACACGCUGGGCUGGUUUCUCCAGGCACCAGCAGCCCCAGGACAUCUCCCCCAGCAGCCCUCCCUCAGUGCCAGCCCCCGGUGCCCACGGCCACUGUCCCCUCGGGGUGGCUGGGGUCAGUGCGGGAGCUCCAGGGCAGCUCUGACCUCGCCCAGCAGAGCAGUUGCUGCUGCUCUUCCCUGCCCCAGGAAAGGCACAAAAUUCCAACCUUUGCAGAAAAAAAAUACAGUAAAAAAA